AGACAGGGAAACUGCGUACGGCUCAUUACACCAGCCUUAAUUUACUUGACCUUGACAACCUACUUGGAUAACUGUGGUAAUUCUAGAGCUAAUACAUGCACCAAAGCUCCGAUCCUCGCGGAGAGGAGCGCAUUUGUUCGCCACAAAACCAAGCGCCCAUCUGGGCGUCCAGUGCUGAACCAGAACAACUCAGCUGAUCGCACGGUCUUGUACCGGCGACGUGUCUUUCAAGUGUCUGCCUUAUCAACUUUCGAUGGUAGUGUACCUGACUACCAUGGUUGUGACGGGUAACGGAGGAUAAGGGUUCGACUCCGGAGAAGGGGCCUGAGAAAUGGCCACUACGUCUAAGGAUGGCAGCAGGCGCGCAAAUUACCCACUCUCAACGCGAGGAGGUAGUGACGAGAAAUAACGAGACCGUUCUCAUACGAGGCCGGUUAUUGGAAUGGGUACAAUUUAAA
rnacentral:rRNA from 1 species